UGAUCAGAUCAAUGAUGUAUGAAUGAAAUCUGUUCUGAAUUUGAUGAGGACGUGCUUCACAAUAAAGUCACACUACACUGUAUGUUGUUAGGAAGUAUGUGCCAAAGCCACCGAGAUGCUUCAACUGCCAAAGGUUUGGGCAUAGAGCUGCAAUAUGCAAGAUCAUGAUCAUGGACAGUUGUAAUGGGAAAAUUUUGCCUUGUGCUAUUUCUUAUCCAACACACUCGUCAUGUGCUGGUUAGGUGCAAUACUGAACUGAACAUUCUUACACAAACAAAUAAUCUCUUGUGCCCUGUCGUACAUCAAGUCUAAACAUCUGAUGUUCCAUUUGACUGACUAAUAAUUUAUGAUAUAUGUUUGUCUUUUACACCCGGACUCUGGCUCCAUCCUAUCUGACUCCCCACCAGACACAAGGCUGUUAAAGCCAAUGCAUCUUGCCUUGAAGCUCGGUGUUCCUUCCUUUGGAUAACAAGACACGAUGAUGCAGAAGUGAGAAAGCAAACAUUCUCACUCACAGCGAGAUAAGGUGGCACAAACAAUUCUAUUGCUGCAGAGAGACAUUCCACCAGAGCCAGAGAAAGGGGUUAAAAGGCAGAAGCAACUUGAGGAUCGUGGGCUCUUUGCAUCACACCUUCGUGGUGUGUGCACUGAUCUCCCAGCUGGUUUUUGGUUUGUUGAUGUGCACGAUCAACAUCCAUGCUUUUUAUUUGCUUUCCCCAUUAUUUUUAUUUUCUUUAUUAUUUCAAUAAAUCGCACAAAAGGACAACUCUCUCUCAUCUACUUCUUUAUGGAAAAUUUCCACCACAGAAAUUGGCGUCUACGAACAGGAUCCCGCUGCAGGUCGUCUGGACGGUGUGGCCAGGGACGAUAGUCCUGAGGACUAGGGUCGCUCAGCCUCCAAACCUCUACAGCUGUUCUGAGUGGGAGGACUGCUCACCCGUCUGGAUUGCCUCCGACGAGAUCCAACGAACACAAAAUCCAACCUCUACUCGGCCCGUUCCACACGUCCCUCUGUGAAAACAUGAUGGAGACAGAUGCAGGACGUGGGUCCUUUCGUGAACAGAUGUCAACGGGGUGGAGACUGGUGAACGACUUCUGACCCCAUGUGACGUAUUCACCUACUUUGCAUACUUUUAGAAAACUUUUUUUUAUUCUGCCCGUCAUGUGCAG